CCUACGGGAGGCAGCAGUGAGGAAUAUUGGUCAAUGGGCGUACGCCUGCACCAGCCAAGUCGCGUGAGGGAUGAAGGUUCUAUGGAUCGUAAAACUCUUUUAUAAAGGAAUAAAGUGAGGCACGUGUGCCUUUUUGUAUGUCCUUUAUGAAUAAGGAUCGGCUAACUCCGUGCCAGCAGCCGCGGUCAUACGGAGGAUCCGAGCGUUAUCAGGAUUUAUGGGGUUUAAAGGGAGCGUAGAUGGGUUGUUAAGUCAGUUGUGAAAGUUUGCGGCUCAACCGUAAAAUUGCAAUUGAUACUGGCAGUCUUGAGUACAGUUGAGGUAUGCGGAAUUCGUGGUGUAGCGGUGAAAUGCUUAGAUAUCACGAAGAACUCCGAUUGCGAAGGCAGCUUACUAAACUGCCACUGACAUUGAUGCUCGAAAGUGUGGGUAUCAAACAGGAUUAGAUACCCUGGUAGUC
rnacentral:rRNA from 1 species